AAAUGUAAUGGGCCUUGUAAAGGCCACGGGCUUUUCAGCCCAUCUGGAAACAGGGGGUACUAAAGAACUCGACGGCACGGCGGUGAAGCUGUGAGUGAGGAACAAGACGAAGACGAAGAAGAAGAUGAGUUCGUCAUCAAUGGCUCUUCGAGAUAUGCAAAGAGACCUAGAGGCCAAGGCCAAUGAUCUCGCCAAAAUCCAGAAAGAAAUCGCGAAGAAUCACCAGCUGAGGAAGAAGUAUACGAUCCAACUCGGUGAGAACGAGCUCGUUCUUAAGGAGUUGGAUUUGCUAGAAGACGACGCGAACGUAUACAAGUUGAUUGGUCCAGUGCUAGUGAAACAGGAUUUGGCAGAAGCUAAUGCCAAUGUUCGCAAACGUAUUGAGUACAUCUCUGCUGAACUGUACGUUUUCUUUCUUCUUCUUCUUCUACUUGGUGUUGAAGCUACUGUAGCCAAGUUUCUUCUUUUGGAUUGUUACAUCAACUUGGAAAAAAAGAGAGAGAGAUCCUUUCGUUCUAGUCCUAUGAUACUAAUGAAUGCUGUUGAUGCUGUGAGAGUAUUGGAUAUGUAGUUUUGCACUUAUGUGAAAACAUGACUUCCGAUGUUGAGCUAUAUAGUGUCAUGCCCCUUAGGAAUAACGUUUAUUGUUUGCAGGAAACGGAUUGAUGCAACUCUCCAAGAUAACGAAGGACAACAAAACAGCAAGAGGGAAGCAAUGAUGAAGUUACAACAACGGCUACAAUCUAUCCAGGCAGGAAAAGCAAAGGCUUGAUUGAGCUAGUCAGUUGCAGUCGCAUUUGUCAAAGCCCUUCACUUGUGCUCGGGCACUGUCUUAAUGGUUUCAUAUUUGGUUAUUGAGGGUUCUUGUGGUUUUAGUUUUGGUGGUGAUCCCUUUUGUGUCGCUGAUCUUCUUUUUGUUGACAACUGCACUUGAAUGUGUGUAUAAUAAACUUUAUACA